CGGGGCAGUUCCUUGCGCUUCAGUCCCCCCCCGGGUCCCCUCCUGCUCCCGGGUUUUCUGCCCCGUUCCCCCGGGUGGCUGUGGGCUCCCAGGCCCUGUGUCGGCCAGCCGGCCCCAGCGCCCCACGACCCCAUGGUGUCUCCCAAGAAGGUACAUGAAGCACAAGCGCGACGAUGGGCCCGAGAAGCAGGAGGACGAGGCGGUGGACGUGACGCCGGUGAUGACCUGCGUGUUUGUGGUGAUGUGCUGCUCCAUGCUGGUGCUGCUCUACUACUUCUACGACCUCCUCGUGUACGUGGUCAUCGGGAUCUUCUGCCUGGCCUCCGCCACCGGCCUCUACAGCUGCCUGGCGCCCUGUGUGCGGCGGCUGCCCUUCGGCAAGUGCAGCGCCCGCAGGCCCGUAUGCUGCUCCUGGCGCUCUUCUGCGUGGCCGUCAGCGUGGUGUGGGGCGUCUUCCGCAAUGAGGACCAGUAAGUGCUGCUUCCCCCGGGCCCCGGCGGACAGUGGCGUCCUCAGAUGCACCAGGGCUCCUGGGGCCCUGACUCCCUGCCCUCCCUGGAGGCCGCCCCAGCCUGGAGCUGCUUCAGCACCGCGUUAUGAAAAGCCCUGGCCCCGGGCUGCUCUGACAGUGCUGUGAGGUCGUUUCACCUGGGUUUGUCCGGGUGCCGUGGGAACCCUGACUGGAAUCCGGGAGGAGAGGCCGGAGCCCCUGUGGCCAGGAGCCACAUCCUCCAGCCUGGAUGGGACUCCUUUGUGGGGCAUCGCUGCCCAGGGCCACAGUCUGUCCCCCGCUGUCCCUUUCCUGGCACCCACGUGCACACCGCAGGUUCGAGGCCCAGGGUGUGGGCACCAGGGCACCCGAUCCUCUUGGUCAUGACUGCUGUGGCUUCUGAGCAGUGGUGGAGGUGGGGCAGGCACUGCUCCCCCCACGCUCACCUCCCACGCGGCCUGGACUUGUGGCUGCCUCCCGCCGGCCGGGCCUCCCCCAUGAGGCCGAGUGCCUGGCGCCGUGUUGGGAGGACAGAGCUGGCCUGUCCCCGCCCGGUCCCCACCGCUGUCGCUGAUACCAUCUGGCGCUUCCUCCCAGCCUUCCCGAGGCAGCCAAGUACGCUUGGCUUUGGUGUGUAUUGGAGCCACGGCACGUUUAACUGGCAGAAGGAAGAUGUGAAAAUAUUUUGAAUCCUUUGUACACAAAGAGAAAAUGAAUCUUUUCAGUUAUUUCCAAGCCAGGAAACUCGCUCCGUCACAUGAAGUUAGAGCAGGCCUCAGUCAGUUGGGCGUAGGGGCUCACGCCUGGGAUCCCAGCAUUUGGUAGGCCAAGUUAGGACGAUCACUUUGCCCAGGAGUUCAAGACCAGCCUGGGUAACAAGCAAGACCCCCGCUCUAUUUAAGAAAUAAUAUAAAAUCAGAAAAAA
rnacentral:sRNA from 1 species